UACAGAGGUGGCAAGCGUUGUUCGGAAUUACUGGGCGUAAAGGGCGCGUAGGCGGUUCGUUAAGUCCUGUGUGAAAUCCCCGGCUCAACUGGGAACUGCACAGGAAACUAGCGGGCUUGAGUUCGGAGAGGGAAGCGGAAUUCCGGGUGUAGCGGUGAAAUGCGUAGAUAUCCGGAGGAACACCGGUGGCGAAGGCGGCUUCCUGGACCGAC
rnacentral:rRNA from 1 species